rnacentral:rRNA from 1 species
GGGAGGUAGUGACAAUAAAUAACAAUAUGGGGCUCUCACGAGUUUCGUAAUUGGAAUGAGUACAAUUUAAAUCUCUUAACGAGGAACAAUUGGAGGGCAAGUCUGGUGCCAGCAGCCGCGGUAAUUCCAGCUCCAAUAGCGUAUAUUAAAGUUGUUGCAGUUAAAAAGCUCGUAGUUGAAUUUCGGGGUUUAUCCGUUGGUCGGGCUUUUGGGUCUGUACUGGCGUGAUGGAUUCCUACCUUCUGAAUAACCAGCAUGUCAUUAAUUUGGUGCGUUGGGGAAGCAGGACUGUUACCUUGAAAAAUUAGAGUGCUUAAAGCAGGCUAUUGCCUGAAUACAUUAGCAUGGAAUAAUGAAAUAGGACGCAUGGUUCUAUUUUGUUGGUUUCUAGGAUCACCGUAAUGAUUAAUAGGGAUAGUUGGG